GAAAUCGGAGAAAUGCUGAUCGAAUUCCUUGGCAUUUAAGAGACAGUCGUAAUGCUUUUGAAAUGUCGGAGCGUGAAUUCAUCAGUUGAUUCAGAUUAAAUCGGUUUGCUUCAAUGAAUUGAAACCUUUUCUGAAGGCAACUGCCAAUGGAUAUUCUCUGCAAAAGCAGGUAUGGAAUGCUGGUCUGAGGGUUCUCUAUGCUAUAGGACAAUGGCCAGGCAAUACUCAUGAUGCAUUUAUAUGGAGUGGACUGAAACAAAAUCUAGAUAGUAUUUUGUCGCAUCGUGCAUAUCUUUGGGAGAUAGUGGAUUAUAUUCCCAUUUUAUCACGGGAAUAUCUCUAUAAUGAGAAGCACAGAAAAGUUCGUGCAGCUAUAGAGAUCAAAUCAAGAUUUAGGGUACUGCACGAUACUGGUGGAACACUAUUGUAUUCACAAAGCAAAAUAUGUAAAAUGGUCAUAUCUGGUGGCCAUUUUACAUAAUAUAUGCUUAAGGUAUUGUGUUGAAAAUCCUGAGAUUGAUGUGUUUGAAGAUGAUGAGUUGGUACCUUCAGAAAGUUUUCAGUCAGUGCAUGUUGAAAUUGCAUUGCACAAUGAAUUAUCUUUAAAUUUUGAAACUCGAUAAUAAAAACCCAAAGUGGGCAACAAUGAACCUCUGGCAAAGGUGAAACCCCCUUCAUGGAUAAUAAAGAAUAUAUUAUGAAAAAAAAUUACUUUCAUAAUAUAUUCUUGGGGACCCACAAGCCAUGGUUUAUAUUUAAACCUGUAACUAAAUGCACAACCCUAAAUGAUUUUAAUUGAUAAUAAUAAUCCUAAAUAAUUUUAUUAGUCCUGGUUUCAAAUGCAUACUGACAACUUUUAUCAUUAUUGUUCUUCCCUCUGAAUUUCUUGUUUCCAUCAUUUAUGUUUAAAAACUCUUGACUACCAGAAAUAACUUAAUAGGCUUGAUAUAUAUAUAUUUUAGUGUUGGUAUGCCAGUCAUGAUUUACAAUAGUAAGUCACUAUAAAUUAGCAUUGCACUUAAUUUAUCUUAAACUUAGCAAUAAGAUUUACUGCAC